rnacentral:rRNA from 1 species
GAUGAACGCUGGCGGCGUGCUUAACACAUGCAAGUCGAACGAUGAAGCCCAGCUUGCUGGGUGGAUUAGUGGCGAACGGGUGAGUAACACGUGAGUAACCUGCCCUUAACUCUGGGAUAAGCCUGGAAAACUGGGUCUAAUACCGGAUAGGAGCGCCUACCGCAUGGUGGGUGUUGGAAAGAUUUAUCGGUUUUGGAUGGACUCGCGGCCUAUCAGCUUGUUGGUGAGGUAAUGGCUCACCAAGGCGACGACGGGUAGCCGGCCUGAGAGGGUGACCGGCCACACUGGGACUGGGACACGGCCCAGACUCCUACGGGAGGCAGCAGUGGGGAAUAUUGCACAAUGGGCGCAAGCCUGAUGCAGCGACGCCGCGUGAGGGAUGACGGCCUUCGGGUUGUAAACCUCUUUCAGUAGGGAAGAAGCGAAAGUGACGGUACCUGCAGAAGAAGCACCGGCUAACUACGUG